rnacentral:misc_RNA from 1 species
AAGAAAAUAGUGGACCAUAGCAAGUUGAAUGGUUUGUGCUCACGUCUUCAAAUGGAACUAUGUCGCCCUCUUAGAGUGUCAUUGAUGAACCGAGGUCCUGAUGCAGAAUUACUGGUUGCAAACCCUGUAGAGUUAUCCGGCAAGGGUCGACCGAUUGUCUUUUAUGACAUUACACUGGCGCUCAAGAUGCUUAAUAUUGGCAUCUUUUCGGCUGAAGUAGGGAGAUAUCAGAUUGGUGAUCGAGAAUGGGAAAUUUACCGUGUCUUACUAGACGAAGGGAAUGGCUCGGGUCCCUCGAGGAACAAGAUUGUGGAAGCUGUUUGGAAUAUGUUGAUGGGUUGGGAGUAAACAACUAGUGAAUGUACAGUUCCUGUGUUCAUUGCUAAAAGGCCUCAUUUGACUCAAUGUAUAUACAGUGUAUUAAUGUAGAGGUAAAAGAAAAAUUGUGUCUGUCAAGUUUCAAUGCAAGAUUUUGCAAGGCUAAUCUUGUAGAAUCAUGUGAGAAAUGUAACAAGUUAAAAAGACCUUUUUUUUUUUAUAAAGUUUUAGUGUUUGUAGAAGU